rnacentral:rRNA from 1 species
UUCGGGAUGCCGGCGAGUGGCGAACGGGUGAGUAACACGUGGAGACCUGCCCUGGGGUGGGGGAUAACAGUUGGAAACGACUGCUAAUACCGCAUACGCCUUACGAGGGAAAGAUUUAUUGCCCCAGGAGGGUUCCGCGUCGGAUUAGCUAGUUGGUGGGGUAACGGCCUACCAAGGCGAUGAUCCGUAGCUGGUCUUAGAGGAUGAUCAGCCACACUGGGACUGAGACACGGCCCAGACUCCUACGGGAGGCAGCAGUGGGGAAUAUUGCGCAAUGGAGGCAACUCUGACGCAGCGAUGCCGCGUGGGUGAAUAAGGCCUUAGGGUUGUAAAGCCCUUUCAGUGGGGAAGAUGAUGACGGUACCCACAGAAGAAGCCCCGGCUAACUCCGUGCCAGCAGCCGCGGUAAUACGGAGGGGGCGAGCGUUGUUCGGAAUUAUUGGGCGUAAAGAGCGCGUAGGCGGUUUAUCAAG